CCCUUCACUACGGAAUAGCUCCGGGAAACUGGUGGUAAUACCGUAUACGCCCUUCGGGGGAAAGAUUUAUCGGUGAAGGAUCGGCCCGCGUUAGAUUAGAUAGUUGGUGGGGUAAUGGCCUACCAAGUCUGCGAUCUAUAGCUGGUCUGAGAGGACGAUCAGCCACACUGGGACUGAGACACGGCCCAGACUCCUACGGGAGGCAGCAGUGGGGAAUCUUGCACAAUGGGCGAAAGCCUGAUGCAGCCAUGCCGCGUGAAUGAUGAAGGCCUUAGGGUUGUAAAAUUCUUUCAUCAGGGACGAUAAUGACGGUACCUGAAGAAGAAGCCCCGGCUAACUUCGUGCCAGCAGCCGCGGUAAUACGAAGGGGGCUAGCGUUGUUCGGAAUUACUGGGCGUAAAGCGCACGUAGGCGGACUUUUAAGUCUGGGGUGAAAGCCCGGAGCUCAACUCCGGAACUGCCUUGGAUACUGGGAGUCUUGAGGAUGGAAGAGGUAAGUGGAAUACCGAGUGUAGAGGUGAAAUUCGUAGAUAUUCGGUGGAACACCAGUGGCGAAGGCGACUUACUGGUCCAUUUCUGACGCUGAGGUGCGAAAGUGUGGGGAGCAAACAGGAUUAGAUACCCUGGUAGUCCACACCGUAAACGAUGAGAGCUAGUUGUUAGCAGGUUUACCUGUCGGUGACGCAGCUAACGCAUUAAGCUCUCCGCCUGGGGAGUACGGCCGCAAGGUUAAAACUCAAAGAAAUUGACGGGGGCCCGCACAAGCGGUGGAGCAUGUGGUUUAAUUCGAAGCAACGCGCAGAACUUUACCCACGUUUGACAUGCCUGGAUGUGAUCAGAGAUGUGAUCGUUCCUUCGGGACCAGUGCACAGGUGCUGCAUGGUAGUCGUCAGCUCGUGUCGUGAGAUGUUGGGUUAAGUCCCGCAUCGAGCGCAACCCUCACCAUUAGUUGCUAACAGGUUUGGCUGAGAACUCUAAGGGAACUGCCCGUGGCAAGCGGGAGGAAGGUGGGGAUGACGUCAAGUCCUCAUGGCCCUUACGCGUGGG
rnacentral:rRNA from 1 species